rnacentral:rRNA from 1 species
GUAGGGAGCAAGCGUUGUUCGGAAUUAUUGGGCGUAAAGAGCGCGUUGGCGGCCAGGUAAGUCUGAUGUGAAAUCCCACAGCUCAACUGUGGAACUGCAUUGGAAACUGCUUGGCUAGAGUGCGGGAGAGGAGAGUGGAAUUCCCAGUGUAGAGGUGAAAUUCGUAGAUAUUGGGAGGAACACCAGUGGCGAAGGCGGCUCUCUGGACCGCAACUGACGCUGAGGCGCGAAAGCUAGGGGAGCGAACGGGAUUAGAUACCCCGGUAGUCCUAGCCGUAAACGAUGGGCACUAGGUGUGGGAGGUAUCGACCCCUUCUGUGCCGCAGCUAACGCAUUAAGUGCCCCCGCCUGGGGAUACGGUCGCAAGCUA